CAGUCGAACGAAACUUCUUUAUCACCGAGUGCUUGCACUCACCGAUAAAGAGUUGAGUGGCGAACGGGUGAGUAACACGUGGGCAACCUGCCCAAAAGAGGGGGAUAACACUUGGAAACAGGUGCUAAUACCGCAUAACCAUAGUUACCGCAUGGUAACUAUGUAAAAGGUGGCUAUGCUACCGCUUUUGGAUGGGCCCGCGGCGCAUUAGCUAGUUGGUGGGGUAAAGGCUUACCAAGGCAAUGAUGCGUAGCCGAACUGAGAGGUUGAUCGGCCACAUUGGGACUGAGACACGGCCCAAACUCCUACGGGAGGCAGCAGUAGGGAAUCUUCCACAAUGGGCGAAAGCCUGAUGGAGCAACGCCGCGUGGGUGAAGAAGGUCUUCGGAUCGUAAAACCCUGUUGUUAGAGAAGAAAGUGCGUGAGAGUAACUGUUCACGUUUCGACGGUAUCUAACCAGAAAGCCACGGCUAACUACGUGCCAGCAGCCGCGGUAAUACGUAGGUGGCAAGCGUUAUCCGGAUUUAUUGGGCGUAAAGGGAACGCAGGCGGUCUUUUAAGUCUGAUGUGAAAGCCUUCGGCUUAACCGGAGUAGUGCAUUGGAAACUGGGAGACUUGAGUGCAGAAGAGGAGAGUGGAACUCCAUGUGUAGCGGUGAAAUGCGUAGAUAUAUGGAAGAACACCAGUGGCGAAAGCGGCUCUCUGGUCUGUAACUGACGCUGAGGUUCGAAAGCGUGGGUAGCAAACAGGAUUAGAUACCCUGGUAGUCCACGCCGUANACGAUGAAUGCUAAGUG
rnacentral:rRNA from 1 species